CGUGGGUAACCUGCCCAAGAGAUCGGGAUAACACCUGGAAACAGAUGCUAAUACCGGAUAACAACAGAUGAUGCCUAUCAACUGUUUAAAAGAUGGUUCUGCUAUCACUCUUGGAUGGACCUGCGGUGCAUUAGCUAGUUGGUAGGGUAACGGCCUACCAAGGCGAUGAUGCAUAGCCGAGUUGAGAGACUGAUCGGCCACAUUGGGACUGAGACACGGCCCAAACUCCUACGGGAGGCAGCAGUA
rnacentral:rRNA from 1 species